rnacentral:rRNA from 2 species
CUGAACCAGCCAAGUAGCGUGAAGGAUGACUGCCCUAUGGGUUGUAAACUUCUUUUAUAAAGGAAUAAAGUCGGGUAUGUAUACCCGUUUGCAUGUACUUUAUGAAUAAGGAUCGGCUAACUCCGUGCCAGCAGCCGCGGUAAUACGGAGGAUCCGAGCGUUAUCCGGAUUUAUUGGGUUUAAAGGGAGCGUAGAUGGAUGUUUAAGUCAGUUGUGAAAGUUUGCGG